rnacentral:rRNA from 1 species
GAUGGAUCCGCGCCGCAUUAGCUAGUUGGUAAGGUAACGGCUUACCAAGGCAACGAUGCGUAGCCGACCUGAGAGGGUGAUCGGCCACACUGGAACUGAGACACGGUCCAGACUCCUACGGGAGGCAGCAGUAGGGAAUCUUCCGCAAUGGGCGAAAGCCUGACGGAGCAACGCCGCGUGAGUGAUGAAGGUCUUCGGAUCGUAAAACUCUGUUAUUAGGGAAGAACAAAUGUGUAAGUAACUAUGCACGUCUUGACGGCACCUAAUCAGAAAGCCACGGCUAACUACGUGCCAGCAGCCGCGGUAAUACGUAGGUGGCAAGCGUUAUCCGGAAUUAUUGGGCGUAAAGCGCGCGUAGGCGGUUUUUUAAGUCUGAUGUGAAAGCCCACGGCUCAACCGUGGAGGGUCAUUGGAAACUGGAAAACUUGAGUGCAGAAGAGGAAAGUGGAAUUCCAUGUGUAGCGGUGAAAUGCGCAGAGAUAUGGAGGAACACCAGUGGCGAAGGCGACUUUCUGGUCUGUAACUGACGCUGAUGUGCGAAAGCGUGGGGAUCAAACAGGAUUAGAUACCCUGGUAGUCCACGC